rnacentral:tRNA from 1 species
GCCCCGGUAGCUCAGCCUGGUCGGCUCGUAAGCGGGAGGUCCCGUCAAGCUUAGCCCGGUUCAAAUCCCGGCCGGGGCUCCA